GAGAAGCUGCUGAUUGCAAGGAUUUUCAUCUCUACAAUAACGAAUGCAGCAUGCAAGAGUCCUCUGUUCUCUUCUUAAUAUUUAAUGAAUGGCACCUCUUGGCUGUGGAUGAACUUCAACUUGCUGCCACUUUGUAAUAACUUGGGACUGUGGAAUUUCUUUAUUGAUAGCUUCUUCAAGUAAGGCACAACUUCCUUUCUGUCUUCUGCUUUGCGGCA
rnacentral:misc_RNA from 1 species